ensembl:lncRNA
UGGUUAACUUAGUGGUUAAAGUAGAGCAGCCUACCCUGUCCUAGUGGUUAAAGUAGAGCAGCUUCCCUGUACUAGUGGUUAACUUAGUGGUUAAAGUAGAGCAGCCUACCCUGUCCUAGUGGUUAACUUAGUGGUUAAAGUAGAGCAGCCUACCCUGUCCUAAUGGUUAACUUAGUGGUUAAAGUAGAGCAGCCUACCCUGUCCUAAUGGUUAACUUAGUGGUUAAAGUAGAGCAGCCUACCCUGUCCUAAUGGUUAACUUAGUGCAGCCUACCCUGUCCUAAUGGUUAACUUAGUGGUUAAAGUAGAGCCGUCUACCCUGUCCUAUUUAAGGUAUUGGUCAGCUGAUUGGUUAGGUGACCCACCUUAUUGCUCAGUGGGCCCCAGAGAAAAAGCCCUCUAGAGGUUCUCCCCUGUAACUGAGAGCUAAAUCUAUGCUUCUGAUGUAACUCUUCUUACUCAACCCUCUGGCUAUGUUGUAUUCAUGCUGUAUGUGGAGGCUAGCGGCUUGUAGCUGAAGUUAUAGGACAAAAACAAAGUUUAGUGUUCAUUGGUUUUUUAUGAGGGAAAUGUGAUGAGUACGUUCUAAACAAAAUUAAAUGUUCUGAAGAUUGGCUCCAAGGUUCCAGAGAGCCAACAUUUGGAAUUUAUGCACUUUGAUGAAAACUGAUAUUUGAAUUCAUUGUAUUUUUAUGUUUUGUAAUGGAGUAAUUAUCUCACCUGUAGUCAAAGUGAGCUUUCACAUGCCUACAGUAACCUACCUAUACAGUACCCUGACUUCAACAGUCUUUAGGUGUUAAAAGGAAUCACAAGUUUCAGUGGGAAUAAUAACUCAGGUAUAUUGGUCUAUAGGAAGGUUAUAGGUCAGGGCCCAGAUUCACACAACCUUCUUAAGAAGAUAUUUCUUCUUAACUGCCAUUUAUUCCUUAACUAUAGACUACAGAUGAAAGUUCAGCCAAGUUGGUAUUCCUCAAAAAGCUUCUUGGACAUGUUCUUGUGUUAUUUCAUGUUUCUCUUCAAGUAAAAAUAUAAGAAGAAAUUAGAUUUUUGAAAAUAUAGUUUGUUCUUGGACAUUUUCUUAAUUCCAAGAUGGCUAAACCCUCGUCUUAAACUCAGGGCAGUGAGAUAAUAAGCUCAUUAAAUCAAUUGAACAUAUUUAAUUCACUCAAACUUCAUCUGAAAGUUUCAGUAUUGAUUAUUUGAAACCCCAAAACAUGUUUUAGAACAGUCAUCUCAGUAUGAAAUAUGCUAACAUGAUUGUCAUUGCUAGCUAGAUACUAAAGCUAGCUAAAACAGUUUGCCUAGUGACAAUCUUUGACAAAGUUUGUGACAAAGUUUGUAAGAAAAUUAUAAAAUCUUAACAUAUUGUUGAAGAAUUGCACUUGUGAACUAUCUUAUGAACUUAUAAUUUUUUUCUUAAGAAGGUUCUUAAGUUUUUGCAUAAGAAUGUAAUGUAAAUCUGGGCCCAGGUUUCCACACCUGUAACAGUGGGUUACACCCUGUCAAACACUACUGAUGGUUCAGUAGUGGUUAGUCUGCCAAUCCUAAUCAGAAGCUGAUAGCCCAUAGUUUUUCCCCCAUACAAUCUUAUGACAACUACAUUUAUAUGUUUGGGAAAGUAUUGUUUUAAAUUGGAGGUAGUUUAUGGCAUGAACAUGGUGGUAAACUAAAGACUCUUUUCACCUCUACAACCAAGUUAUUCCAUCUGUAACGUAACUAUAUUAAUACAAUUGAUUAAUAUAUUGCCUCAAAAAAGGAUUUCCGAUGUGGAAUCCAAUAAGCUGAAAUAAGGAAUUUGGUGAAGUGAACUUAGUGCCAAAAUGUUUUUGAGGAUGAUUAAUUGAAUCGCAUUUGCACAAAACUACUGUAACUUUAGUUUUUUCCUGUGACUGAUGCUUUUAUAAUCUUAUUGUGUUAUUUAUUGCACCAAGUAAUCCAUUAAAAUAUUGAUAUGGUUAAA